rnacentral:misc_RNA from 1 species
GAAAUGCGAUAAGUAAUGUGAAUUGCAGAAUUCCGUGAAUCAUCGAAUCUUUGAACGCACAUUGCGCCCUCUGGCAUUCCGGGGGGUAUGCCUGUCCGAGCGUCAUUACGCACCCUCAAGCCCGGCUUGUGUGAUGGGCCCCGGCGUCUCGUUCGCGAGACGGGCCCGAAAGGCAGCGGCGGCGUCGACCCGAUGAGCCCGAGCGUAUGGGGACUUCUGUCACACGUUCGCGGUGCGGACCGGCGCCUGCUUUGACUUUUCUGAUUAUCCAGGUUGACCUCGGAUCAGGUAGGGAUACCCGCUGAACUUAAG